AAAUCGCUAAAAGCCAUCCCAGUUCGGAUUGCAGGCUGAAACCCGCCUGCAUGAAGUUGGAAUCGCUAGUAAUCGCGGAUCAGCAUGCCGCGGUGAAUACGUUCCCGGGCCUUGUACACACCGCCCGUCACACCAUGAGAGUCGGGAACACCCGAAGUCCGUAGUCUAACCGCAAGGGGACGCGGCCGAAGGUGGGUUCGAUAAUUGGGGUGAAGUCGUAACAAGGUACC
rnacentral:rRNA from 1 species